AUUCAGGCUGAUUUCCAUUUUGAGAAAUGUUCUAAGAAGGAGUCGUAGCCUACUUUCAAAGUCUCACUGAAGCUUGGGCUUAGAGAUGCACGUAUAACGGGGAGCUCUUAUCUCUUCCAACUUUUUUAUUUCUUUGUUAAAUCAAAGAAGCUCCAAAAGUCUCCAAUCGGUCACCAGAGAGAGUGUCGAUGCCUCAGAAGAUGACAAACGGCAUGCUGGUGUCUGCGUAGUAAGGCUCGUCCCUGUGUCUAGACAUGAAGAUGGUCUGAAGACCACAAGUUAACUGCUCAUGGUCUGAUUGCACUGUGUGUCACUCAUAUGACACCCUACUGCCAUCCCAGUGAAGGUUACAGCUCGAGAGAGACUUUUGGAUGACCAGUCAGAGAAAACACUUUCUGCCUGAGAUAGGGCCCAUGGUACCACCAAGAACUGAAUCUGAUCACCAGACUCUCUGAGCUAUGACAGACAAGUAAGGUAUGCAGGCUUCUGACUGAAGAAAGUCUUGUGCCAGCCCCUGAAAGGACUCUUUGUGUCUGAAGGACAACAAGGCUAAGGAGUCUGGAAGGGGAAGGGAUGAGGUCAGAAGUGGGCUGUGCCCACGAGCUUCCUCCUUUCCCCCUUCACAUCUGCCUUCCAAGCCACCAAUGCACACAUUCCUGCAUUACCACGGAAGAAUCUCAGAGGUAUCUUCUGGUGCAUAAGUGGUCCUCAGGAGGUCCACCAAGCUGUACCUUCUGCACCCCAGCCCACCUGCUCUUUUCUCUCAGUUUGGAGUCAGGAAAAAAAAAAAAAAAACAGAACAAAACAAACAAAUAAAAAAAU
ensembl:lincRNA Gm42695 predicted gene 42695